rnacentral:rRNA from 1 species
AUUGAACGCUGGCGGCAUGCCUUACACAUGCAAGUCGAACGGCAGCACGGGUGCUUGCACCUGGUGGCGAGUGGCGAACGGGUGAGUAAUACAUCGGAACAUGUCCUGUAGUGGGGGAUAGCCCGGCGAAAGCCGGAUUAAUACCGCAUACGAUCUACGGAUGAAAGCGGGGGACCUUCGGGCCUCGCGCUAUAGGGUUGGCCGAUGGCUGAUUAGCUAGUUGGUGGGGUAAAGGCCUACCAAGGCGACGAUCAGUAGCUGGUCUGAGAGGACGACAGGCCACACGAGAAGGGAGACACGGCCCAGGCGCCUACGAGAGGCAGCAGUGGGGAAUUGUGGACAAUGGUGGAAAGCCUUGUCCAGCAAGGCCGCGUGUGUGAAGAAGGCCUUCGGGUUGGGAAGCACGUUUGUCCGGAAAGAAAUGCUUGGCCCUAAUACGGUCGGGGGAUGACGGUACCGGAAGAAUAAGCACCGGCUAACUACGUG